rnacentral:rRNA from 1 species
GACGAACGCUGGCGGCGUGCUUAACACAUGCAAGUCGCACGAAGUGGCGAACGGGUGAGUCACGCGUAAUCAACCUGCCCUUCAGAGGGGGACAACAGUUGGCAACGACAGCUAAUACCGCAUACGGCAGGCGGGGAAUGCGUCUGAUUAUCUAGUGGGAGGGGUAACGGCCCACCAAGGCGAGGAUCAGUAGCCGGUCUGAGCGGAUGAACGGCCACAUUGGGACUGAGACACGGCCCAGACUCCUACGGGAGGCAGCAGUGGGGAAUCUUCCGCAAUGUACGAAAGUCUGACGGAGCAACGCCGCGUGAGUGAUGACGGCCUUCGGGUUGUAAAGCUCUGUUAAUCGGGACGCGGUACCGGAAUAGAAAGCCACGGCUAACUACGUGCCAGCAGCCGCGGUAAUUC